UACGUAGGUGGCAAGCGUUGUCCGGAUUUACUGGGCGUAAAGCGCGCGCAGGCGGUCCUAUCAGUCGAAUGUGAAAGCCCCCGGCUCAACUGGGGAGGGUCAUUCGAUACUGUCGGACUCGAAGGCAGGAGAGGGAAGCGGAAUUCCCGGUGUAGUGGUGAAAUGCGUAGAUAUCGGGAGGAACACCAGUGGCGAAGGCGGCUUCCUGGCCUGUUCUUGACGCUGAGGCGCGAAAGCUAGGGGAGCAAACGGG
rnacentral:rRNA from 1 species